rnacentral:tRNA from 1 species
AGCGGGGUGGAGGAAUGGUCAACUCAUCAGACUCAUGAUCUGAAGAUCCCCGCCU